AGGUGCCCAGGGUCUGGUUUGUGAGGCUGCCCUCCAUGGCUUGAGGAGGGCCCUCCGUGCCCCACUGGACUACUGCAGGGGACUCAGACAUCUGCUGGCGGUGCUGGCGUUGGCCAUGACCUCCGUGAAAGCUGAAGGCCAAACACCUACGACGUGGCUUCUCCAUGUAUCCACUCGGCUCCCCAGAGUGUGGCCUACACUGAUGAGGGAGGAGCACAGGCCCCUCCCUCAGUGGGAGGAGUCUCGGCCGCCAUCUUGUAGACCGGAGAGCUGCCGCCGUGGGCCAACUGGAAGAGGACCAUCUGCCACAGAGAGGAACAGGGGAGGGACAGUGUCAUGGGCUUGUUGCUGGAGAAUUAAGGAAAGUAAGGUUUUUUGUUUUUUGUUUUUUAAAGAUACAGCUUUCAACAACUGGAAGAGUGGAUUGGAGCAUGUGGAGAAAUGGCAAUGUAAUAAAAAAUAGAAGUAGA